rnacentral:lncRNA from 10 species
UUUGCAGCUCCUGCUUCAGGUGCAGAAACACAGCUAUUUCCAGUGCCAGCUGUUGAGCCAGUGCCAGCACCAGGGGCAGAGCCCCUUCCAGGGACAGCGCUGGAGCUAGAGGAAGCUCCAGAGCCCUCCUGCCGCUGCCCUGGGACUGCACAGGACCAGCCUAGUGAGAAGCUGCCUGACUUCAUGGCACCUCCUGUAGAGCCACUGGCCUCAGCCCUGGAGCUGAAAGUGUGGCUGGAGCUAGAGGUGGCAGAGAGGGGGUGACCAGCACAGUUCCAGCCAGCAGCUCCCACACUGCUCCCAGUCCUGGGCACAGUGGAAGCUAUGGAGGCAGAGACCAGGGUGUGCAACCUGGGCUCCUCUGCCUCACUGGAGAGGGACUUCUCUCAUUCAGCAGAGCAGCAGCCCUGCUGCUGAAGGCCCUGCCGCUACUGCUGCUGGAGGUGUUUGCCUGCCUGCAGGAGGUGCUGGAGAGCAAGAAAAGGAGCCUGUGAGCAGGGGUUCCAGCAGGUCCUCCUGCUCCCAGAGGCGACCUCCUCCUCCAGGAAUGGAGGUUUGCCCUCAGCUGGGCAUCUGGGCCAUUUGC